CAGUCAGAGCGGACAGAUGGGAGCUUGCUCCCUGAUGUUAGCGGCGGACGGGUGAGUAACACGUGGGUAACCUGCCUGUAAGACUGGGAUAACUCCGGGAAACCGGGGCUAAUACCGGAUGCUUGUUUGAACCGCAUGGUUCAAACAUAAAAGGUGGCUUCGGCUACCACUUACAGAUGGACCCGCGGCGCAUUAGCUAGUUGGUGAGGUAAUGGCUCACCAAGGCGACGAUGCGUAGCCGACCUGAGAGGGUGAUCGGCCACACUGGGACUGAGACACGGCCCAGACUCCUACGGGAGGCAGCAGUAGGGAAUCUUCCGCAAUGGACGAAAGUCUGACGGAGCAACGCCGCGUGAGUGAUGAAGGUUUUCGGAUCGUAAAGCUCUGUUGUUAGGGAAGAACAAGUACCGUUCGAAUAGGGCGGUACCUUGACGGUACCUAACCAGAAAGCCACGGCUAACUACGUGCCAGCAGCCGCGGUAAUACGUAGGUGGCAAGCGUUGUCCGGAAUUAUUGGGCGUAAAGGGCUCGCAGGCGGUUUCUUAAGUCUGAUGUGAAAGCCCCCGGCUCAACCGGGGAGGGUCAUUGGAAACUGGGGAACUUGAGUGCAGAAGAGGAGAGUGGAAUUCCACGUGUAGCGGUGAAAUGCGUAGAGAUGUGGAGGAACACCAGUGGCGAAAGCGACUCUCUGGUCUGUAUC
rnacentral:rRNA from 1 species